AUGGGAACAGGCACCUAUGUAACAGUCUGGCCACUUUUCCAUAGGGCUGCUGCAAUAUGCUUGGGGCCUGUUUCCGUCCCUAGUCACCUUGGAUUUUCCAGAACCUGGAGGUGUGUCACCAGUGAAGCCUGCCAAACAGCAAAGAUAGCAGCCUGUCCUUCCCUGUGGGAGCUUUGUCCCAGAGAGACUCUCUGGAGCGCAUCCCUUCAGAGAGUACUUCCUGAAAGCCCUGUAUCUCCACUAUCUCGAUUCUCUGGAGUAAAUCACGAGUAAGUUAUCUUAAAAGAGAUGUUCAAGCAUGUAAAUACUAAGAAAGCAGAAUCUUAUUUGGGAAGAAUUUUAGUAGACAGUUUUAUCUACUUAUCCUUUGGUAGAAGGUAGGGUUUCAGGGAAAGGAACAUAGAGAUAACAAUGUUGGGUUUAUAUUAGAAAAGAGGAUGCUCUUUUACACAUUUCCUGAUUUAAAAAAAGUCAGCGCUGACUAAAAGUAAUCUGUAAGAUUUUAAAAACUGUACUUCAUUUAUCUAAGUAUCAUAGUAAUUUCUCAUAUAUCCUGAGAAGAAACACAGAAAAAUUCCCUAAAAAACACCCUAGUUUGAGUGAGAAAUAGAAUAAAAGGAGAACUGUUUCAUUCUUUCAGUUUUAUGAGAAUGCCAUUAUUUUGUUAUGUCUGCUAUAUCAAUCUAAUGUAUCUUCUGAAUGACUUCAUUUAUUUUUUUCUACAGAAUAUAGUCAUAACAUUCAAUUUCAUCAUAACUCUUAAUACUUUCUGAUUGUUUAACUUUUUAAAGUAUCCUAUAAUAUAUAUUUUUUAUUUUUUCAUUUGAAAUAGCUUUAUGAUUCAUGAGUCCAAAGAGGACAGUCUUUCCAUCUAUCCAUCUUAUAACUGAUGUGGCUCCUAAGGAACAGCAAAACCUGAAACAAUUAUGGGAACAAGCAUUUGUCAACCUCGCACAUGAAGCCACUCUUUGUAUGUAUUAUGCAUCUCAAUCUCUAUAUAUGGUUAUCAACAUAAUAAUUCAAGUAAAGGUAAUAUAAUAAAUACUAAGACUUCACUAUAGCAAAAUGAUAUAAUGCAAUUAGACAAAUUCUGCCAGACAGAAUUAGACAAAUUUCAAGACAAAUGCUUGGGAAGUUUAGUUUAUAUGACCCACUGUCACUACUAUUUUAUUUUGCAAAAUGGGAUUAGGAAAUAGGAAUCAAAUGUAUAGAAUAUAUAAUGAUAUGGAUUAAUAUAUUUAUAUAUAAGUAUGCAUAAUAUAUAUUUAUAUUUAAAUUUAAAUCUUUAGAAGGAGAUUUCAGAUCAAAUGAAAACUGAUUAAGUGCCAUUACACUGGUUAACCCAGAAAUGAGUCAGAUCUUACAUUUUUGAAGUCAUUAAAUUACCAUAAUUUAGCAAGGCAACUGCUGUUUUGUGUUUUAGUCCACUUAAAUAAUGCAUUACAUAGUACAUUGCUCAAGCUAAUUUUGAACACUAGCUAAUUACUUCACUAGCUAUAAGACAUGUUAACAGGUAACGUAGAAUGCAAACUAUUUCCUUGUAGAAGUGUUUACAAACAUAAAUCAGAGAAAUAGUGAAACAGAUUGUCAGCUGAAAGUUAUCUUUACGAUUUUUUUUGAUAAGUGCAUUGAAUUAUGGAGCUAGUUCACGAAAAGUGGAUAACUGGUAUUUGUUAACAUAAGAAGUUGUGGUUAUUUUCAGAGGGGGACAUUUUUGGUUGACCACAUAGCAAAAUAACAUUCCCCCAAAAAACUGCACUGUGAAUUAAUGAAUGACCUCAAAGUGAUAAAUAAAGAAAACACAGAUUUGUAGUUGUAAGGAUUUUACUUAUGCAGUAAGACAAAAUGCCAGCUGAGAGAUUAAAUAAAAACAGAUUUUUCUAAUAUACUUGGCAUAUUUUAGGAUAGAUGUACCAUCUAUGUGACAAGUGAUGAAAAAUAGAACUGGGAAAAAAGAACUUUCAUGGGACAUGUAAAAUCAUUAAGAGAAUUAAAUAAGAGAGAAUGGCAGUGAACUCAUUUUGGGUCAAUAUAUGUGGAAACUCAAAAAGAUAAAACGUCAGUCAAUAAAGAGGAAAGGGUAAUAUUGAGAAUAUAGAGGGGAAACUGGGUGGGUUUAAAUGUAAGUGGCUUCAGAAUCAGUUUUGAUCUGUAUAUUAGUUCCCUAUUGCUGCAAAUAGGGAACUAAUUAUCAGCUUCGGCAACUUUAAAAAACACACACAUUUAUUAUCUCACAGUUUCUGUGUGUCUUAGUUCAUUUUGUGUUACUAUUAAAAAAAAAAAACGACCCUUUGGGAGGCUGAGGUGGGCGGAUCACAAGGUCAAGAGAUCAAGACCAUCCUGACCAACACAGUGAAACCCCAUCUCUACUGAAAAUACAAAAAUUAGCCGGGCAUGGUGGCAUGCCCCUGUGGUCCCAGCUACUCGGGAGGCUGAGGCAGAAGAAUCGCUUGAACCCAGGAAGCAGAGGUUGCAGUCAGCCGAGAUUGCGCCACUGCACUCCAGCCUGGCGACAGAGCAAGACUAGAUCUCAGAAAAAAAACAAAACAAAAAAACAAACAAAAAAAAACUAUGGUUGACUAAUUUAUAAAAACAAACCAUUUAUUUGUCUCACGGUUCCUGUACAAGAAGCAUGGCACCAGCAUCUAUUACUGGUGAGGAGUUCAGGCUGCUUCCACACAUGGUAGAAGGCAAAAAGGAGCUGGCAUGUAGAGAGAUCACAUAGCAAGAAAGGAUACAAAGGGGUUUCCAGGCUCUUUUUAAUAAUCAGCUCUCAUGAGAACUAGUAGAGCAAGAAGUCACUUACUACUGAAUGGCUCUAAGCCAUUCAUAAGGAAUCCACCACCGUGAUCUACUAGGCCUCAUCUCCAAAACUGGGAAUCUCAUUUCAACAUGAGUUUUGGAAGGGUCAAAUAUCCAAAGUGUAGCAUUCGACCCCUGAACCCCCCCAAAUAUCAUAUCCUUCUCACAUGCAAAAUACAAUCAUUUUAUCCCAAUAGUUCCCAAAAACUUUAGCUUGUUCCAGCAUCGACUCAGAAAUCCAAAGUUCAAAGUCCUAUCUAAGACUCAAGGCAAUUUCCUUACAACUAUGAGUCUGUAUAUCAAAAAAACAAGUUAUUUACCUCCAAGGUACAAUGGUGGUACAGGUAUUCAGUAAAUAUUCCCAUUCCAAAAUAGAGAAAUUGGCCAAAAGAAAGGGGGAAUAAGCCCUACACAAUUCCAAAACCCAGCAGAGCAGACAUUAAAUCUUAAACCUCCAAAAUAAUCUACUUUGACUCCAUGUCCUGCAUCAUGGGCACACUGGUAGGCAGGGUGGGCUCCAAAGACCUCAAGAAGCCCCACUCCCAUAACUUUGCUAGGUGCACCCAUGUGGCUGCUCUCAUGGGCUGUAGUCCAAUGUUUGCAGUUUUAUUUGGCUGCAGUUGCAUGCUUCCAGGGGCUCUAUAAUUCUGUAGUCUGGAAGGUGGUGGUACUGCCCUAGUAGGCACCAUUUGUGGGGGCUCCAACCCUUAUUGCAUUCUGAGCACCUGUGGCUAUAAUACCAUAUGCAUGCCACCAAGGCUUAUAGCUUACGCCCUCUGGAGCAGCAGCCUGAGCAGUACCUGGGGCUCUUUGAGCCACAGCUGGAGCUGGAGCAGUGGGAAUGUGGGAAAGAACAUCCUGAGACAGCAUAGGACAGCAGUAUCCUGGGCCUGGCUCCCAAAACAAUUCCGUCUUCUUAGGCCUCUGAGCAUCUGAUAGGGCCUAUCACCCAUCGUCUUGACUAUCAGCAUCUGGCUUCCAUUUAGUCAUGGUAAUCUUUUUAGCAAAUGGUAGUCCCACAAUGUCCUUGGAUUCCUCUCCUGAAAACACUCUUUUCUUCUCUAUCACAUGGCCAGGCUGCAAAUUUUCCAGAUUUUUAAACUUUGCUUCCUUUGUAAUCAUAAAUUUCAACUUAAGGUCAUUCGUUUACUCCAAGAUUAUAUUGUAAGUUGUUAAA
rnacentral:lncRNA from 1 species